AGUGAACGCUGGCGGUAGGCCUAACACAUGCAAGUCGAACGGCAGCACAGUAAGAGCUUGCUCUUACGGGUGGCGAGUAGCGGACGGGUGAGGAAUACAUCGGAAUCUACUUUUUCGUGGGGGAUAACGUAGGGAAACUUACGCUAAUACCGCAUACGACCUACGGGUGAAAGCAGGGGACCUUCGGGCCUUGCGCGAUUGAAUGAGCCGAUGUCGGAUUAGCUAGUUGGCGGGGUAAAGGCCCACCAAGGCGACGAUCCGUAGCUGGUCUGAGAGGAUGAUCAGCCACACUGGAACUGAGACACGGUCCAGACUCCUACGGGAGGCAGCAGUGGGGAAUAUUGGACAAUGGGCGCAAGCCUGAUCCAGCCAUACCGCGUGGGUGAAGAAGGCCUUCGGGUUGUAAAGCCCUUUUGUUGGGAAAGAAAUCCAGCCGGCUAAUACCUGGUUGGGAUGACGGUACCCAAAGAAUAAGCACCGGCUAACUUCGUGCCAGCCGCCGCAGUAACAC
rnacentral:rRNA from 1 species